GUGAGGAAUUUUGCGCAAUGGGGGAAACCCUGACGCAGCGACGCCGCGUGGAGGAUGACGGCCUUCGGGUUGUAAACUCCUGUCAGAGGUGAAGAAUCCCCGCAAGGGGUUGACGGUAACCUCAAAGGAAGCCCCGGCUAACUACGUGCCAGCAGCCGCGGUAAUACGUAGGGGGCAAACGUUACUCGGAAUUACUGGGCGUAAAGGGUGUGUAGGCGGCUGAGUAAGUCAAAGAUGAAAUCCCAUGGCUUAACUGUGGAAUUGUCUUUGAAACUACUCGGCUUGAGGAUAGUCGAGGAGAAUGGAAUUCCCGGUGGAGCGGUGAAAUGCGUAGAUAUCGGGAGGAACACCCGAGGCGUAAGCGAUUCUCUAUCCUAUUCCUGACGCUGAAACACGAAAGCUAGGGGAGCGAACGGGAUUAGAUACCCUGGUAGUCC
rnacentral:rRNA from 1 species